GUGCUCGCUUUUGGCAGCACAUAUGCUAAAAUUGGAAGGAUACAGAGAAGAUGAGCAUGGCCCCUGUGCAAGGGUGACACGCAACGUCAUAAAGUGUUCCAUGUUUUU